rnacentral:rRNA from 1 species
GACGAACGCUGGCGGCGUGCUUAAUACAUGCAAGUCAACUGAACUUUAGGUAGCAAUAUUUAAAGGGAGGUGGCGCACGGGUGAGUAACACGUAGGUAAUCUGCCUUCAGGACUGACAUAACUCCGCGAAAGCGGGACUAAAAUCAGAUGAUGCAGCGGCUCGACAUCGAGACAGUUGUUAAACCUUCGGGGCCUGAAGAUGAGCCUGCGUCUGAUUAGGUAGUUGGAGGGGUAAUGGCCCACCAAGCCUGCGAUCAGUAGCUGGUCUGAGAGGAUGAUCAGCCACACUGGAACUGAGACACGGUCCAGACUCCUACGGGAGGCAGCAGUAAGGAAUAUUGCUCAAUGGCCGAAAGGCUGAAGCAGCAACGCCGCGUGGAGGAUGAAAUACUUUAGUAUGUAAACUCCUGUAAGAGGGGAAAAUAUACAAUUAUGUUGUAUUGAUUGUACCCUCAGAGUAAGCACCGGCUAACUACGUGCCAG